AGGAAUGGCAGAGCGGUCGAAUGCGGCGGUCUUGAAAACCGUUGUACCGAGAGGUACCGGGGGUUCGAA
rnacentral:tRNA from 14 species